GACGGAAGGUGCAAGCGUUGCUCGGAAUCACUGGGCGUAAAGGGCGCGUAGGCGGUUCGCUAAGUUGGAUGUGAAAACUCUGGGCUCAACCCAGAGCCUGCAUCCAAAACUGGCGGGCUAGAGUUCUGGAGGGGGUAGCGGAAUUCCUGGUGUAGCGGUGAAAUGCGUAGAUAUCAGGAGGAACACCGGUGGCGAAGGCGGCUACCUGGACAGAAACUGACGCUGAGGCGCGAAAGCUAGGGGAGCAAACAGG
rnacentral:rRNA from 1 species